GGGAAAGCCGAGGCCCGGUGCUGUAUUCUGCCGCCCAUUUUACCCGCGGGGAAGCUGAGGCCCAGUGCUGUUUAAUAUCUUACUCAUGUUCACUUGAUGAGAAAGUGACAGAUCUGAGACAAACCCAGUUCUAGAGGUUAUGACACCAGCCAUGGAAGAGCAGAGAGGCCAAUGAGGUGGGGAGGUUGGAAACAAAAGGCCUUCUCCACCCCAGCUUGACCAACCCAAAAGCUGGAAGGCAAGGAAGACCUAGAUCGACAGAAAAGAAAUGAGUCAACGAUGGUGCAGGUGAUCUGUGCAGUGCUGUGCAGGGGAUGGGUCAAAGCUGUGAUGCUGGCAUGCAACUAACUCACCAUUAAAGGGACCAGCUUGACGAAGCUUCUGCUUUUGUGACUGUCUCCUAAUGGAUCUGGGGGUUUCUUCAAGCUCCCAGACUUGCUCAGGCACAUUGCAAAUAGCCAUGAUUUGAGAUGAUUUUCUUUAAUGCUGAAGCAGAUGAAGAACCCAGGUUCUUUUUAGUGGCAAGGCUUGUUUAUCAGCAGCUAUACAGCUAUGGGCACAGACACAGGUAAACAGCACAGAUGCUGGGAGAGGGCUGGCAUCUGACCGUGACCAUCACGCCCAUGUGACAAAGGAUGUCACCACAGUGAACAGUUCUGACCACAGUGGCUUUUCACCUGCUUCGUUAAAUUUAACUCACACCGGCUCAGAGGACAAUUUGAUUCAUUCUGUAUCUCAGCAGAAACCAGAGCACCUCAGAAGAUCAAGGCUUCCAAAUUCUCCUGGGGGAACAGACGUCAGCCAUUCAGCACAAAGGAAACUUCCUUCUCUGUAUGUCAGAGGAAGACAUAAUUGUGCCAUUUCCUUCUUGAAGAAGUUUACAAACAUUUGCAAGUUGUCAAAAAUAAUUAGUCUAAAAUUGUUUCAUAAACCGUGGAAUGAAACAGGACGUGCCUUGUUGAGAUCAAAGGGCUUCUGUUACCUUCUUGUAAACUCAAAUGAAAUUCUUUUGAAAGUAAA
rnacentral:lncRNA from 1 species